rnacentral:rRNA from 1 species
AUUGAACGCUGGCGGCAGGCCUAACACAUGCAAGUCGAGCGAGCGGCGGACGGGUGAGUAAUGUCUGGGAAACUGCCUGAUGGAGGGGGAUAACUACUGGAAACGGUAGCUAAUACCGCAUACCAUCAGAUGUGCCCAGAUGGGAUUAGCUAGUCGGUGGGGUAAUGGCUCACCUAGGCGACGAUCCCUAGCUGGUCUGAGAGGAUGACCAGCCACAUGGGAACUGAGACACGGUCCAGGCGCCUACGGGAGGCAGCAGUGGGGAAUAUGGCACAAUGGGGGGAAGUCUGAUACAGCCAGGCCGCGUGUGUGAAGAAGGCCUUCGGGGUGUAAAGCACGUUCAGCGGGGAGGCGUUACCCGCAGAAGAAGCACCGGCUAACUCCGUGCCAGCAGCCGCGGUAAUAC